rnacentral:rRNA from 1 species
UGGGGAAUAUUGGACAAUGGGGGAAACCCUGAUCCAGCAAUGCCGCGUGUGUGAAGAAGGCCUUCGGGUUGUAAAGCACUUUCAGUAGGGAAGAAAUACUUAAGAUUAAUACUCUUGAGAGUUGACGUUACCUACAGAAGAAGCACUGGCUAACUCUGUGCCAGCAGCCGCGGUAAUACAGAGAGUGCAAGCGUUAAUCGGAAUUACUGGGCGUAAAGCGCACGUAGGUGGAUACUUUAGUCGAAUGUGAAAGCCCUGGGCUUAACCUGGGAAUUGCAUCCGAUACUGGGUAUCUAGAGUAUGGUAGAGGGAAGUGGAAUUUCCGGUGUAGCGGUGAAAUGCGUAGAUAUCGGAAAGAACACCAGUGGCGAAAGCGGCUUCCUGGACCAAUACUGACACU